rnacentral:rRNA from 1 species
UACGUAGGGGGCGAGCGUUGUCCGGAAUUAUUGGGCGUAAAGAGCUCGUAGGCGGUCUGUCGCGUCGGUCGUGAAAACUUGGGGCUUAACCCUGAGCUUGCGGUCGAUACGGGCAUGACUGGAGUUCGGUAGGGGAGACUGGAAUUCCUGGUGUAGCGGUGAAAUGCGCAGAUAUCAGGAGGAACACCGGUGGCGAAGGCGGGUCUCUGGGCCGAUACUGACGCUGAGGAGCGAAAGCGUGGGGAGCGAACAGG